AUUGAACGCUGGCGGAAUGCUUUACACAUGCAAGUCGAACGGCAGCACGGGGCAACCUGGUGGCGAGUGGCGAACGGGUGAGUAAUACAUCGGAACGUGCCCAAUCGUGGGGGAUAACGUAGCGAAAGUUACGCUAAUACCGCGUACGAUCUACGGAUGAAAGCGGGGGAUCGCAAGACCUCGCGCGAAUGGAGCGGCCGAUGUCAGAUUAGGUAGUCGGUGGGGUAAAGGCUCACCAAGCCUGCGAUCUGUAGCUGGUCUGAGAGGACGACCAGCCACACUGGAACUGAGACACGGUCCAGACUCCUACGGGAGGCAGCAGUGGGGAAUUUUGGACAAUGGACGCAAGUCUGAUCCAGCAAUGCCGCGUGCAGGACGAAGGCCUUCGGGUUGUAAACUGCUUUUGUACGGAACGAAACGGUGAGCUCUAAUACAGUUUGCUAAUGACGGUACCGUAAGAAUAAGCACCGGCUAACUACGUGCCAGCAGCCGCCGUAA
rnacentral:rRNA from 1 species